UGGAAAAGUUCCGGCAAGCCCUGUGGACAGGUUUGCGAAUCUGGACUCAGCUUCUGCAAUCCAGACCUCAGUUUCCUCAUCUCUAAAAGGGGGAGAAUGGUACCUAGAGCAUGGAGCAGUGAGGAAGCCCAGGAUGUGACGCACAGGAGCUCGCCAAAGAGAGAUAAUGAGCUGCCCAGUGGUGAUGAGGUUGAGGGGACAUAGGUGACAGGAAAAUCGGCCCAUGUCCAAGAACCCUUCAGGCCCUGGGACUCAAGGAUGCUAAAAGACACACAGCAAAAAGCAAACAAGUUUGUGCAUCUGGCCAGGGUCCCCUCCUGCCUGCCUAGGGAUCAGAUUCAUCCUUCACUGGGAUCUACCAGGAAUGCUGGAAGCUUCCCCAGGCCAACCACCUUCCCGAUGGGGACAAUGAAUGAUGCAGCACAUCAGAUGAUGGUGCCACAUCCCUCCUGCUGCUGGCUUCAAACAAAGCCCUUCUGUGUCCCCAAGCCUCCCAUACCAACUAUGGCCAAGAUUUCCUCCUUGCUGGGCUCUGGCAGGAAGUGUGAGCCCAUUGUCUGGAUGUGGAAAAUCGGGGUCAAAGUGCCUUUCUUGAAGGCUAGUUGAGACGAUUAAAUGAGACCAUAAAUGUGAGGGAUCCGUGGACCAUGCCCCGCAAAGGCACUCUGCAGGGAGAACUCCCUGAGAAAGACAAAAGGGGGCAGGUGCGGGGAAGAGGGAAAAGACAAUGGGAUCCAGGAGUGCCUGCGGAGUCUCUGUGGGCUGGAGAUACCAAAAAUGACCAACAGGGUGAGGACAAGUGACCUUCCAACCUAAGGAAUAUGAGGCAAUGUACAGGGAUGAAUCUGGACAGAGCCCAAAUCCCUACCACCAGGGAACUUGAGCCAGUGGCACCUUCUGCGGCACUUCAAUUUCCUCCUCUGUAAAAUGAGGUGAAGAUGCCAACCUGGUGGGGUGUCUGGUAGGACUGAAGGAGCCCUGGCACUGUGUUUGGCACACAGCAGGUGCUCAGUAAGCAUAACAUCCAAAGAUGACCUACAGCAUGUGUCCAGACCCUAUACACACAUACAGCUCACUGGCCCCUAUACCUGCCCUAUACCUACCUCAUACCUAGCCCUCUACCUCUGUGUCUUUGCAUACAAAGCAAGGGAGACAGGGAGGGUUCCAAACAAGGCUGGUACCAGGGAUGGGGAUGCAUCUCAGGAGAGGGCCUCAAGCCAACACCUACAGAGCCAGCCUUGCUACCCAAUCCCCUCCAUGAGACUCCUAAUGACACCCCCUCCCCUCCUCUCUGACUUUGCCUGUUCUGCCUCACCCAAAAGAACAAGGGCUCUUGGCUGGGCAUGGUGGUUCAUGCCUGUAAUCCCAGCACUUUGGGAGCCCAAGGCAGGAGGAUAGCUUAAACCCAGUAGUUUGAGAACAGCCUGGGAAACAGAGUGAGACCCUGUCUCUACACAAAAUUAAAAAAUUAGCCAGGCGUGAUGACAUGCACCAGUAGUUCUAGCUACUGGGGAGGCUGAGGUGGGAGGAUCACUUGAGCCUGGGAAGUCGAGGCUACAGUAAGUUAUGAUUGUGCCACUGCACUCCAGCCUGGGUGACAGAGUGAAACCCUGACUCAAAAAAGCAAAAAACCAAAAACAAAAAAGUGAGGGCUCUGGAUCCCAGUCCUAGCACUUACAACUGAGUGAUGCUGAGCAAGGGACACAACCUCUCUGAGCUUCAGUGUCCACAGGGAUAGAAUGGCCAUAUUAUCUCACGGACUCACCAGAACUUGAUACAAGUACAAAUCAGUUAGAGAAAAAGUCCAAUGGGGGCCAGGUGCAGUGGCUCACACCUGUAAUUCCAGCACUUUGGGAGACGGAGGCAGGUGGAUCACUUGAGGCCAGGAGUUCGAGACCAGCCUGGCUAACAUGGUGAAACCCCAUCUCUACUAAAAAUACAAAAAAUUAGCCGGGCAUGGUGGUGGGCAUCUGUGGUCCCAGCUACUCAGGAGGCUGAGACAGGAGAAUGGCUUGAACCCACGAGAUGGAGGUUGCGGUGAGCCGAGAUCGCGCCACUGCACUCCAGCCUGGGUGACAGAGCAAGACUCCAACU
rnacentral:lncRNA from 10 species